AUUGAACGCUGGCGGCAUGCUUUACACAUGCAAGUCGAACGGUAGAGGGGGCAACCCCUUGAGAGUGGCGAACGGGUGAGUAAUGCAUCGGAACGUGCCCAGUCGUGGGGGAUAACGCAGCGAAAGCUGUGCUAAUACCGCAUACGAUCUCUGGAUGAAAGCGGGGGACCGAAAGGCCUCGCGCGAUUGGAGCGGCCGAUGUCAGAUUAGGGAGUUGGUGGGGUAAAGGCCUACCAAGCCAACGAUCUGUAGCUGGUCUGAGAGGACGACCAGCCACACUGGGACUGAGACACGGCCCAGACUCCUACGGGAGGCAGCAGUGGGGAAUUUUGGACAAUGGGCGCAAGCCUGAUCCAGCAAUGCCGCGUGCAGGAAGAAGGCCUUCGGGUUGUAAAGGACUUUUGUCCGGGAGCAAAUGCCUGGUGUUAAUAGCAUCGGGAGCUGAGAGUACCGGAAGAAUAAGCACCGGCUAACUACGUGCCAGCCGCCGCGGUAA
rnacentral:rRNA from 1 species